GCGAGGGAGCGAUCGGGCGAGGAGGAGGCAGCGGAGGGAAGGGAAGGGAAGGGGGAGGCUGCUGGUGUUUGGCGCCGGUGGAGGGAGUCAUUCCUGCCGCUGCACUUCCGGUCGGCAUUUUGUUCUGAGAGGGAGCGAGAGAGACACACACAGGUUCCUUCCCCUCCUCCUCCUCGCCCUUCUCUCCCCCUGCCCCCCCGCUCGGUACCGACUCACCGUGCCCAGGCCGCCCCUCCCCGCCCUCCUGCUCUCGCACUCUCGGAGGGAGCGGCGGCGGCGGCGGCCCCUUGGCAGCGCUGCCCCCCGGCCACCCCCCGCUCCCCCCCCGCUCGGAGCGCGGCUCGGAACCGGUUCGGCGCGGCCCGGCCCGUGUUGAUGUUGUGAAGGAGGCUCGGGGGGAAGGGAUUUGCCUCGGCCGCACACCCCCCGGCUCUACAUGUUCGCUGCACUGAGGAGGAGACGGAAGAGGAGCCAGCCCCCCUCCCGGCCCGGAUUAUUGUUGUUAUAUUAUCUCCCCUCCUCCUCUUGCUCCGCGGCGGCGGCGGCGGCCCAGCGGCGGCGGCGGCUCCUCUGAGGAGGGAGGGGGGCGGAUUUCUCUCCCCCUCACUCGGAUUCUCGUUGGAUUCAGACGCCGAUUUGCUCAGUGCUUGGGAGAUGGGAAGUAAUGAUAGCUGGCACCUGAACUAAAAUAUCUGUGUAGGCACUACUAUCCCAGAACUUCAGGAUGAAUGGGGAUAUGCCUCAUGUUCCCAUCACUACUCUUGCAGGGAUUGCUAGUCUUACAGACCUUUUGAACCAGCUGCCUCUUCCAUCACCUUUACCUGCUACAACAACAAAAAGCCUGCUUUUCAAUGGACGAAUAGCUGAAGAGGUGAACUGCCUUCUGGCUUGCAGGGAUGAAAAUCUGGUUUCACAGCUUGUACACAGUCUCAAUCAGGUGUCAACAGAUCACAUAGAGUUGAAAGAUAACCUUGGCAGUGAUGAUCCAGAGGGAGAUAUACCAGUCUUGCUGCAGGCUAUCCUGGCAAGGAAUCCUAAUGUUUUCAGGGAGAAAAGCAUGCAAAACAGAUACGGGGUACAAAGCGGGAUGAUGAUGUCGCAGUUUAAUAUUUCUCAGAAUUCCAUGCGUGGUAGUCCUGCAUCUUCCAAUUAUCAACAAACCACUAUCUCACAUAGCCCUUCCAGCCGGUUUGUGCCGCCACAGACAAGCUCUGGUAACAGAUUUUUGGCACAACAGAACAGUCCAGUGCCUAGUCCAUAUGCUCCUCAAAGCCCUGCGGGAUACAUGCCGUAUUCACACCCUCCAAGUUACACACCACAUCCUCAGAUGCAGCAAGCUUCUGUAUCCAGUCCCAUUGUCACAGCUGGGAUGAGGAAUCUCCAUGAAAAUAAAGUUUCGAGCCAGUUGUCUGGAAAUUCAGCUAAUCAUCAUGCUGAUAACUCUAGACAUGGCUCAAAUGAAGACUACCUACAGAUGGUGCACAGACUAAGUAGUGAUGAUGGCGAUCCUUCAAUAAGGAAUGCUGCGUCUUUUUCCUUGAGGUCACCACAGUCAGUCUGCUCUCCAGCUGGAGGUGAUGGAACCCUUAAAGAUAAGCCUCUGAAGAAGCGAAAACAAGAAAACAAACCACCAGAGGCUGGAGGUGCUACUGGAGGAAACAGAGCAGCUUCUCAGGAGACAGGUUCUGCAGGAAAUGGGGCAAGGCCUGCCUUGAUGGUUAGUAUUGAUCUACAGCAAGCAGGAAGAGCAGACUCUCAGGCAACAGUAACUCAGGAUUUGGACGCCAUCAAAAAACCUGAAGAAAUUAAGCAGUAUAAUGAUGGGUUUGUGUCUGUUCCCCAAGAAGACCCUGUUGGAGUUCUUAAAUUUAAACCUGAAAACCAUCCAGAAAUUUUUAGGAAAAAAUCAGAUUUUGAAGGUCAAAAGGCAGAUAUCCAGCAAAAUGAAAACAGACAAAUGGAAUUUCAGCAAAAUGAGGGCAGACGGUUGGAAAGUAAACACAACGAGAGCAAACAGUUAGAAGUGAAACAUGAAAGUAAGCAUGAAAGCAGACAAAUGGAAGUGAAACAAAAUGAGAACAGACAGACAGAAGCAAAACAAAAUGAGAGCAGACAAAUGGAGAUGAAACAAAAUGAGGGAAAACAAAAUAAUGGCAAACAGGAGAUUCGACAGAGGCCAGAGACACCAAAACAGAAGAGUGAAUGCAGACCUGAAACACCGAAACAGAAGAGUGAGGGGAGGCCCGAAACACCAAAACACAGACAUGAUAAUAGGAGAGACUCCAAUAAACCACUGUCAGACAAGAAAAUUGAAAUAUCUAGGCACAAACUAGAUAUGAAGUCUGAUCCUUCAAGGGUAAAACCUGAAAGUAGAUCUGAUCCAACAAAACAAAGGCCUGACGGACGUUCGGUUUCUGAUACACCAAGGCGUGACCAUGAUAGCCUUAAACAAAGAUCUGAGGACAGGGGUGACUCAGAGAGAUACAGAGGAGAUCCAUCCAAGAUUAGAAGGCCUGAAUAUUUGAGAUCCUCAAAUAAAAAUGAACAUGAUUCUAAACAUGGUAUUAAAUCUGAUGGUUCAAAACCUGAGAAAUUUGAAAGGAAAUAUAGACAUGAAUCUGGUGAAUCAAGGGAAAGGUUUGCUUCUGGGGAUCAGAAAUCAAGACCUGACAGCCCUCGUAUUAAACAGGAAGGUAAAGGAGAUUCUAGUAAAUCAAGACCUGAUAAACCUGGUUUUAAGUCACCCAACAGCAAGGAUGAACGAAGGACAGAUGGCAAUAAGAGUAAAGUAGAUAGUAAUAAAGCACAUGGUGACAAUAAAGCAGAGUUUCCCAGUUAUUUGUUAGGGGGAAGAUCCGGUGCACUGAAACAUUUUGUCAUUCCAAAAAUCAAGCGUGACAAAGAUGGCAAUGUUACUCAGGAGUCAAGGAAAACUGAAUUUAGAGGUGAACAGAAGGACAAAGUAGAGAAGAUUGGGCUAGUUGAAGAUCUAAAUAAAGGAGCUAAACCUGUAGUUGUCCUUCAAAAACUUUCUUUGGAUGAUGUGCAGAAAUUUAUUAAGGACAGAGAAGAUAAAUCAAGGGGCUCUUGUUUUAAACCUAACAAGAACAAGUCAUCCAAAUCGAAUAAAGGUAGCAUAGAUCAGUCAGUGUUAAAGGAGUUGCCUCCUGAGCUCCUGGCAGAAAUUGAAUCCACCAUGCCACUUUGUGAACGUGUGAAAAUGAACAAGCGCAAACGUAGCACAGUUAAUGAGAAACCAAAAUAUGCUGAAAUCAGUUCUGAUGAAGACAAUGACAGUGAAGAAGCUUUUGAAUCUUCUCGUAAAAGACACAAAAAGGAUAGAGAUGAAGCUUGGGAGUAUGAAGAACAUGACAGAAGAAGUUCUGGUGACCACAGGAGGAGUGGUCACUACCAUGAAGGAAGGAGGAUUUCUGGCAGUGGUCGUUACCGUAAUCGCAGUCCCGAUGACUCUGAUAUGGAUGAUUAUUCUUCUCCCCCUAGCCUCAGUGAGGUGGCUAGAAAAAUGAAGAAAAAAGAAAAACAAAAGAAGAGGAAAGCUUAUGAACCUAAACUUACACCUGAAGAAAUGAUGGAUUCUUCAACAUUCAAAAGGUUUACUGCUUCAAUAGAGAAUAUUUUGGAAAAUCUGGAAGACAUGGAUUUUACAGCUUUUGGUGAUGAUGAUGAGAUUCCACAGGAAUUGCUACUGGGAAAACAUCAGCUUAAUGAGUUGGGUAGCGAAUCUGCAAAAAUCAAGGCAAUGGGGAUUAUGGACAAGCUCUCAACAGAUAAAACAGUGAAAGUCCUGAAUAUUUUGGAGAAGAACAUUCAAGAUGGAUCAAAGCUUUCUACUUUACUUAACCAUAAUAAUGACACUGAAGAUGAGGAGAGAUUAUGGAGAGACCUUAUUAUGGAAAGAGUGACAAAAUCUGCUGAUGCUUGUCUUACUGCUAUCAAUAUUAUGACAUCACCAAAUAUGCCUAAAGCUGUAUAUAUUGAGGAUGUAAUAGAAAGAGUUAUUCAGUACACAAAAUUUCAUUUGCAGAACACUCUCUAUCCUCAGUAUGAUCCUGUGUAUAGAGUGGAUCCUCAUGGUGGUGGUGUUUUAAGUUCAAAAGCAAAACGUGCCAAGUGUUCCACCCACAAGCAAAGAGUUAUCGUGAUGUUGUACAACAAAGUUUGUGACAUUGUCAGCAGCUUGUCAGAGUUACUUGAGAUACAGCUCCUUACUGAUACAACUAUUCUUCAGGUAUCAUCCAUGGGAAUAACACCCUUCUUUGUAGAAAAUGUCAGUGAACUUCAGUUAUGUGCCAUCAAAUUAGUGACUGCAGUGUUCUCCCGGUAUGAAAAACACAGACAGCUAAUUCUAGAAGAAAUUUUCACUUCCCUUGCGAGACUACCAACUAGCAAGAGGAGUUUGAGAAACUUCAGGUUAAACAGCAGUGACACUGAUGGAGAGCCUAUGUAUAUUCAGAUGGUAACAGCACUAGUUCUGCAACUUAUUCAAUGUGUGGUGCACUUACCAUCAGCAGAAAAAGAUUCUAAUUCAGAGGAGGAAUCAAACAAGAAAGUGGAUCAAGAUGUGCUUAUUACUAACUCUUAUGAAACAGCCAUGAGAACAGCACAAAACUUCCUUUCUAUUUUCCUUAAGAAGUGUGGCAGUAAACAAGGGGAAGAAGAUUACAGGCCACUGUUUGAGAACUUCAUUCAAGAUCUUCUUUCAACAGUCAACAAACCAGAAUGGCCAGCUGCAGAGUUGCUACUUAGCUUAUUAGGAAGGCUAUUGGUUCACCAAUUUAGUAAUAAAUCAACAGAAAUGGCAUUAAGAGUUGCAUCACUUGACUAUCUUGGAACUGUAGCUGCAAGACUAAGGAAAGAUGCAGUCACUAGCAAAAUGGAUCAAGGAUCUAUAGCCAGAAUCCUCAAACAGGUUUCAGGAGGAGAAGACGAAAUUCAACAGCUGCAAAAGGCUUUGCUAGAUUAUCUGGAUGAGAACACAGAAAUUGAUGCAUCAUUAGUGUUUUCUCGGAAGUUUUAUGUAGCUCAGUGGUUCCGUGAUACAACUAUGGAGACAGAAAAAGCAAUUAAAUCUCAGAAGGAUGAGGAUUCAUCUGAAGGAACUCAUCAUGCAAAAGAUGUUGAGACCACAGGACAAAUUAUGCAUAGAGCAGAAAGUCGCAAAAAGUUUCUUCGCAGCAUCAUUAAAACUGCUCCAUCUCAAUUCAGUACAUUAAAGAUGAAUUCUGACACUGUGGACUAUGAGGAUGCAUGUUUGAUUGUUCGCUACUUGGCCUCUAUGAGGCCGUUUGCCCAGAGCUUCGAUAUUUAUUUGACACAGAUUCUGCGUGUACUUGGUGAAAAUGCAAUUGCUGUCCGAACAAAAGCCAUGAAGUGUUUGUCUGAAGUUGUUGCUGUAGACCCCAGUAUUCUAGCCAGGCUGGAUAUGCAGCGAGGAGUUCAUGGGCGGCUCAUGGAUAACUCCACCAGUGUACGAGAAGCAGCAGUGGAGCUGCUUGGCCGAUUUGUGCUCUGUCGCCCUCAGCUUGCUGAGCAGUAUUAUGACAUGCUGAUUGAAAGGAUAUUGGAUACUGGUAUCAGUGUCAGAAAAAGAGUCAUAAAGAUACUUAGGGAUAUCUGCAUUGAACAACCAACGUUCCCCAAAAUUACAGAAAUGUGUGUGAAAAUGAUUCGGAGAGUCAAUGAUGAGGAAGGCAUUAAGAAAUUAGUAAAUGAGACAUUCCAGAAGCUCUGGUUUACUCCAACUCCACACCACGACAAAGAAGCAAUGACAAGAAAAAUACUAAACAUCACUGAUGUGGUUGCAGCUUGUAGAGAUACAGGGUAUGAUUGGUUUGAACAGCUUCUUCAAAAUCUGUUGAAGUCAGAAGAGGAUGCCUCAUAUAAACCUGUGAAGAAAGCCUGUACUCAACUCGUUGACAAUUUGGUUGAGCACAUUCUUAAAUAUGAAGAAUCUUUAUCAGAUUCUGACAACAAAGGUGUGAAUUCUGGUCGAUUAGUUGCUUGCAUAACCACUUUGUUCUUAUUCAGUAAAAUAAGGCCCCAGCUAAUGGUCAAACAUGCCAUGACGAUGCAACCAUACCUGACCACUAAAUGUAGUACCCAGAAUGAUUUCAUGGUGAUCUGUAAUGUUGCAAAAAUCUUAGAACUUGUAGUGCCACUAAUGGAGCACCCAAGUGAGACCUUUCUUGCCACUAUUGAGGAAGACCUCAUGAAACUCAUCAUCAAAUAUGGCAUGACGGUUGUUCAGCAUUGUGUGAGCUGUCUUGGGGCUGUUGUGAACAAGGUCACCCAGAACUAUAAAUUUGUAUGGGCCUGUUUUAAUAGAUACUAUGGUGCACUUUCUAAAUUAAAAAGUCAACACCAAGAAGACCCCAACAGUACAAUACUAACUGCCAAUAAACCAGCACUCCUUAGGUCACUUUUCACUGUUGGAGCACUGUGUCGGCAUUUUGAUUUUGAUCAGGAAGAUUUUAAGGGCAACAGUAAGGUUAACAUUAAAGAUAAAGUACUUGAACUGCUGAUGUAUUUUACAAAGCAUUCAGAUGAAGAAGUACAGACAAAAGCCAUUAUUGGCCUUGGAUUUGCAUUUAUCCAGCACCCAAGUUUAAUGUUCGAACAGGAAGUGAAGACUCUGUACAACAGCAUUCUUUCAGAUAAGAACUGUUCAGUAAACUUAAAAAUCCAGGUGUUAAAAAACCUCCAGACCUACUUACAGGAGGAGGAUACACGUAUGCAACAGGCAGACAGAGACUGGAAAAAAGUAGCAAAACAGGAAGACCUGAAAGAAAUGGGUGAUAUUUCCUCAGGGAUGAGUAGUUCCAUCAUGCAACUAUAUCUCAAACAGGUCCUUGAGGCUUUCUUUCAUAACCAGUCCAGUGUACGCCACUUUGCUCUAAAUGUCAUUGCACUGACGUUAAACCAGGGCCUCAUCCAUCCUGUUCAGUGUGUGCCAUACUUAAUUGCUAUGGGCACAGAUCCAGAGCCCUCCAUGCGAAAUAAAGCUGACCAGCAGUUGGUGGAAAUAGACAAAAAAUAUGCUGGGUUCAUUCACAUGAAAGCAGUGGCUGGUAUGAAGAUGUCUUACCAGGUACAACAGGCAAUUAAUACCUGCCCGAAAGAUCCUGUGAGAGGUUUUAGACACGAUGAGUCAUCCAGUGCAUUGUGCUCACACCUGUACUCCAUGAUCCGAGGGAACCGUCAACACAGACGAGCCUUUCUCAUUUCUUUACUCAACCUCUUUGAUGAUACUGCAAAAACAGAGGUGAAUAUGCUUUUGUACAUAGCAGACAAUCUAGCCUGUUUCCCUUACCAAACACAGGAGGAGCCACUGUUUAUAAUGCAUCAUAUAGACAUUACACUAUCAGUUUCUGGUAGCAACCUACUACAGUCAUUUAAAGAGUCUAUGGUGAAAGACAAAAAAAAGGAAAGAAAGCCUUCAUCAGAUGAGGAGAGUGAGAGUGACAGUAACAGUGGCAGCGAGAGCGAAAGUGAGGAGGAAGCUUCUAAGCCUCGGAGGUUACGGAAACGAGUGGACUCUGAUUCAGAUUCUGAUGAAGAAAAUGAUAUAAAUGCUGUGAUGAAAUGUUUACCUGAAAAUUCAGCUCCUUUAAUUGAAUUUGCUAAUGUCUCCCAAGGCAUAUUAUUACUUUUGAUGCUGAAACAGCAUUUAAAGAACCUCUGUGGAUUCUCUGAUAGUAAAAUUCAAAAAUAUUCUCCAUCUGAAUCUGCAAAAGUUUAUGAUAAAGCUAUAAACAGGAAGACAGGAGUGCAUUUCCAUCCAAAACAAACUUUGGAUUUUCUGCGGAGUGAUAUGGCUAAUUCCAAGAUCACUGAAGAAGUGAAGAGGAGUAUAGUAAAACAGUACUUAGAUUUCAAGCUCCUUAUGGAACAUUUGGAUCCUGAUGAAGAGGAAGAAGAUGGAGAGGUGUCAGCUAGCACAAAUGCUCGUAACAAAGCAAUUACCUCGCUGCUUGGAGGAGGCAGCCCUAAAAACAAUGCAGCUGAGACAGAGGACGAUGAAAGUGAUGGGGAGGAUAGAGGAGGAGGCACUUCAGGGUCAUUGAGAAGGUCAAAACGAAAUUCAGACUCUACGGAGUUGGCAGCACAGAUGAAUGAAAGUGUUGAUGUCAUCGCUAUUUGCUGUCCAAAGUACAAAGACCGACCACAAAUUGCAAGAGUAGUACAGAAAACCAGCAAUGGCUUCAGUGUUCAGUGGAUGGCAGGCUCCUACAGUGGCUCCUGGACUGAGGCUAAGCGCCGUGAUGGCCGCAAACUGGUGCCUUGGGUAGACACUAUUAAAGAGUCAGACAUUAUUUACAAAAAAAUUGCUCUAACGAGUGCUAAUAAGCUGACUAAUAAAGUUGUGCAGACUUUACGAUCGCUGUAUGCCGCCAAGGAUGGAACUUCCAGCUAAUGAAUUUGUACAUGCAGCCAAAUUUACAGGAAAUGAAAUAACAGAAAAAACUUGAAAUACCAACUUUCUGGCAAAAAAAAAAAAAAAAAAAGUCAGUUAAAUGAAGAGUAAGAAUGGAACGUGGGACGCGGGGAAAAAAGAAGGAAAUGUUUGGUAAACAUUUUUGUGGGAGCUUCCUUCGCUGUUGUGCAGCAGAAACUUCUCAGUUCAUUUUUACUCCCACUGUAUUAUAGUUUAACAAAAAAUUGUUUAUAUCUUGAAAAAAAACCUUUCUGUUUUAAAAAAAUAAACAAGUGAAUGUUGGAAAUUAGUCUGUUAAUGUUCUUAAUAAAGUGUUCUUGGAGUUUAACCUAGCAGCGGAUGGCUUUCUUUAGCUUAGCCCAGUUUCCAGGAAAGCAUUGUUUUUCCAGGCUGUAAAAUGGCAGAAUCUCCUGGAUAUAUAAUUUAUUCUGUUGAAGAAAAAAAAAAAAAAAAGGAAAGAAAAAAAAGCAUGCAGUAUCUAUGACCUAUCUGCAGGAGGAGUUUUUGUAAAUGUAGAUUUUGAUGUAUUAGGUCACCCUGAAAUAUACAAGAAAAGGGAUCCCCAGCAAAUCUGGUGGAACGAAUACUGCAAUAAAUUUUUUUACUUCUCUUUGUUACUUGUCUGUUUCCAUUUGAAUUUCUUAUUGUAAAGAUCUGUUUAAAUCCAUUUAUAUUAUUUUGCAGUCUUUUAUGUAAAAUUUACUAUAUCAGUGGUUUUCAAAACAAGACAUAAAAUAUUGUUUAUACAGUUUGUAUAGGCUGACUUCUGAAUAAUUGGUAUCUUUUUAUUUUUAUCCCUAAAAGGGUGUAAACACAAGUUAACUCCAGGGUUUUAUUGUAUCCUGCAAUAUUUAGUAUUAACUAUAUGAUUUAGCACUGUGCCAAACACAUUUUCAAGAGUACAUUUUGAUAUAAAAAGAAACUAUAGUUUA